rnacentral:snoRNA from 1 species
GAAGUGAUGGCUUACCACAGUCUGUGUUCUUACACUGACUGUACAAUAAAGAGGAGGGAAAGUAAACCUACUCCAUUAUACCUCAGCCCAGGCCCUGGGUCUGGUCUGUAUUGUGAAUGGGAAGACAUGG